rnacentral:misc_RNA from 1 species
UCCGGUUUGACACCGGCAGUCCCGCUAGAGUCCCCACCAUUACGUGCUGGCAACUAAGGACAGGGGUUGCGCUCGUUGCGGCACUUAAGCCAACACCUCACGGCACGAGCUGACGACAGCCAUGCAGCACCUGUGCUGGCCCCUUGCGGACACGGGCUUUCACCCGCUUUAACCAGCAUGUCAAGCCUAGGUAAGGUUCUUCGCGUUGCAUCGAAUUAAGCCACAUGCUCCGCCGCUUGUGCGGGUCCCCGUCAAUUCCUUUGAGUUUUAACCUUGCGGCCGUACUCCCCAGGCGGUCAACUUAAUGCGUUAGCUGCGCCACUAAAAGCUCAAGGCUUCCAACGGCUAGUUGACAUCGUUUACGGCGUGGACUAC